CUUCGCCUCAUCUGCGACUCUGCGGCGAAGUCCUUUUUGUGGUGGGACCGCAUGUGAAACACCAGGUCUGAAGUCAUUCGGAAAGACAAGUUGCAUUUGGCGCACCAGUUCUGCACGGAAACACCGAAGGAGGAUUUCAAGGCAAUAAAAGCGAUGGUGUCAUAGAAGGUGUUCUGCAGGACGCAGGGACCGAAAGCCGCGCCGAGCGGAAGGUCUCGCGUCACAUGGACACUCGUCAGGACAUCCGCCAGGUCGCGAGCGCUGGAUGCUGCUUUGUGAGGCAGGUGCAGAUCUGGCCCAGUGCCGGCCGCAGUCCACGGCGGAACGAGAACGCGCAGCGCGAUGUCUGGUCGCGACUGGCACUUGCGCUGCUGUGUCAGACACUUAUCCGCGUCUGCCUGGGAGAGCAGCCAUGCGUGACGGCCUCUAGUCCCCCCUCACCCCCGGGUGUCGUUUUGAUUGGCGCUUCCCUCCUGUUACAGACGCCUUAAUUAUACCAGAAAGGAACCCGUUCACGGUUGAAAUUGAUUUUUAAAAUGCAGAACGACUGAGCGUAUUUCAUUACAUAUUGAACCAUAUUGCCCAAAAGUAUGCAUUCGAAUCCAUUAUUUGCAAACCAUGCGCGUAUUGUAUUAUAUUAAAAGCGUAACUUCA